CAUUUGACGGGCGUGGGGUGACUCUGCUGGAAGUAUGUGGUAGCUGGCCUGAAAGCUUUGGUGUGCCACGGCACAAUGUUGGCUCAGCAGACGCCAGUGAUGAAGGCCUCCGGGAGAGACUGGCUGAUGCCAUGUCUGAGUCCCCCUCCAGGGAUAUAGUAGGCUCUGCUACAGAGCUGCAGAGGGAGGGCAGCAUUGAGACCCUCAGUAACAGCUCGGGUUCCACCAGCGGCAGCAUCCCACGCAACUUCGAGGGCUACCGCUCCCCCCUGCCCACCAACGAGAGCCAGCCACUCAGCCUCUUCCCCACCAACUUCCCCUAGAGUCCCACCUCUUCUUCAGGAAGAACCAGCCCCGUCCAGCCCACCUGCCCCACCUGCCUGCCUCCACCAUAUCUGUCUACCAAGCAUCCCACUGGCACACUGAUGUCAAACCAAAUCAAGUUUGGGAUUUGUGUUUCUCUGUACAGUGUUAUUAGUGUUUUUCUCCUCUCUUACAGCUGUUCACAAAUCAGUGUGAUCCCAGCUAUAUAAAGUGUUGGUAUUUUAUUUCUUGGGUUGGAUCUGAAGACUGAUAUUUUUUAUCAAGCUGCCAAUGCAACUUUAGUUUGCGCAGAAUUUCAAUUAUUUAAAUUUCAAAAAGUUAAUAAAAAUGACGAAGUAUUUACCCAAAAUUGCACAAAUUGCAUUCAAGUCUGGGUGAAAACACCUAGACCAAUUUAUUGUAGACUUUCUUUUAAGGUUAACAGCUAGUGUGCUUAACAAUUAACCUAAUGUGCAGAAAAUAAGAGUAAAGAUAAAAAGCAGUUUCAUCACAUAGUGCUUGGAUACAGCUGUGGUCAGGGAGGAACUUCCUUUAUUUUCAAUAUCAGAUCUUAAAUAGCAGACGAGUAUCAGUCCAGCCCUGCUUUUGACCUUAUUGUGGUGUUAAAUCAGAAACCAGUUGGCGUGGACGUUGUCGGAAAGCAGCCGUCCUCUCCUCUCUGCAGUUGAUGUCUGCUGUUUCCUUAGCCUGUCAUCGUUCUUUGUGUGUGUUGAAGUUUUAUGGUGUGCCUACUGUCUGAAUGAGCCACGAGGAAGACAAAGUUAAAAUGUUUAUUCCAGUCAGUGACGUGUAGCGGCUCCUUUUUCUUUCUGUGUGUGUUGCUGCUCUCAUUGUCUCUCACUAAAUGUUUUUGAUUAAAUUUGGUCCUCUCAUGCCUUUGAUUAUCAUGUAAUUACAUCUGACAAAAGAUGCAGUAAUGAGAUGGCAUUAUUACUACAUUGCUGAAGUAAUUUAGAUGUUUAUGGUGUAAUUGAGAUAUGUUUCUGACAUCAUUUAGACAUAUUCCCCACUUGGCCUUUCCAGAUAGUAAAUUUUAAUUGAGCAGAAUAAAAGAGGCUAGCGUAGCCGUCAUGCUGUAUUUUGUACAUUAGUAACUUUUGACCAAAAUCUUUUUCCUGCCUCUUGUUUUUGAUCUCUAAAAAUGUAUUUUCCUGAAAUGUACUAGCUUUGCCCACAGCAAAAAAAGAUUGACUCUAAUAAUCAGAAAUCCCUUCAUUAAACACACUUUGCCUGUUAGUUUGUCUCAAGCAGAAUGUUUGUCUUGGUGAAAACUGAAAUGCACUAUUUACAGAGUCACACCAGAAAAGACAUGAAUGAAAAUCCCAUAUGUCUGAGUGUUGUUGGACUGUCUGCAUGUCAUGACGGCUCUGUCUCUGAAUGAGGGCAUGAAUUUACUGCUUGUUGUUGACAGUAAAAUUUGAUUUGUAAAAUACAAAUAAACAAUAACAACAAUAAAACUGAAGGAAA